ACGAAAUGCUUUUCGAAAAUUCUUUACUGCCAUAGUAUAUAGAGUAUACAUAGUUUUCGUAAAUAUUCGCAAGAAUAUGAAAAUUUGCAACUCGUUCGAGGCGUGGUCUCAUCCUUAAUCGAUAGUUUGUUAAAACAGAAAAAUGAUUUCGUUAUCGCUUCAAGUAUCGCUGCGACUGUACUUGCUCGCGAUUCCACGUAUUUCCACACUCGCCACAGAAAACUUUUACCUUCGUAGUUAUUAGCUCGUCUGGGUGGUACGUAUUAUACGCGUAUAAAACAUUUCGAAAUUUCAUUAACGCUAUGUACUUUCAAAUACUUUCGUGAGUCAAUGUUUCCAGCUUUUCUCAAUUCUCUUCCAUUCUUUGCUCUCUUGUUACUCACAUUAUUAUAGUUUGUCGUUAACACUUUACUGACCGCUAGCGGUUCAACAGCAUACGCACGUCCGACCGGCAACUCAGGCGCAAAUUCUCCCUGGCGCCGCCUCUGUUUCGGUUUAGGCUCUCCAAGACCAUUCUUUUCGUUUAUUGAGAACGGUCAGUUUUUCAAAUUGGCAUAAAACUGUGGGAGCUUACGAAGCGACGCAACUGACGCAACUGGGCAAGGUACCUUAGUACUAAAUAACAAAUUACUGUUCAAAUAAUGAGAAAGAUUGUCGACGAUAAAAAGCCGAUUAAUAGGCUAUCGGUCGGUAAGCGUCGGCGACAAAAAGCCGAUUAAUCGGCUAUCGAUCGGUAAGCGUCGGCGACAAAAAGCCGAUUAUUCGGCUAUCGGUCGGUAAAGUGUUGAAACUUUCAUGUACGAUAAUGAAUAUUCAUAAUGAAAAUAGGCAACGACGUGUUACGUUAAUGCAAAUUACGAUACACCUUUAAUCGGUUGUAUGCGCAAGCUUCGUUGCUGAAAAAUGAAACAUGAACCACACGUGUUGUGUAGAUACUCUCAGCAAGCUCAAAUGAAAUACGUAACACAGCUGAAAAGAAAACGGAUAAACGCGUUAUGGGGUGCGUAACUUUAAACGCGUUUAUCUGGAAAUGUCGUUUACGCGCGUCAAUCUCUUUCCACCGGAGUACGUCGCAUACGAAGAUCACAGGAGGGAGAGAUAACGAGUACAUUUUUAUUGAUUUAAAACUCGCUCUACAAUUCGUUCUAAUCAACACUCUUUCACAAAAGGUGGAAACCAAUUCAACGAUUCGAUUGGAACUCGUUCGCCAAUUAGCAACGGUACUAGACGGUGCUAGAGCAAAUUCUCUCUAAUCAGCUUUCUAACGAUGAAAUUGUUUUCGCAAACAGAGAAAUUAGCGAAAAGCCGAAUGAGAUAUUCGGUAAACGAGUCGCUUCUCUUUAUCCUCGCCCACUGCAUCUCUUUCCCGGACGAUUGUCAGGAAUUUCAUGGAAAAAGCAGCUCGAUCUACGAAUGGAACUCGUUGCUGGAUUACCUUCCAAUUAGAAUUGUUUACGCAGCCAGUUAGGUGGCAAUCGUCCCUGUUCCCAUCGAAACGACAUUCAACUUCGCCGAUGUAAAUUCAGCCGGGCGCGUGUCCCCGUGUCAUUAACCUUUCUCACGAAUCAAUGUUCCUGCUGCAUCGUUUAAUCGUGCUUGCCUCCAUUCCGUUUAUUCGAGUGGAUGCAACCGAAGGAAAAUUAUUUUACCUUUUCCGCUUGUUGCUACGCGUGCGGCUCGAAUGGCUUGUGGAAAUUGCACGAGGCAACGCGAACCGAGGGACUAAAACGAACAGAAGGAGUACACAGAGAAAUCUGACUGUCACCGACCAGAGUUUCUGCUUGCAAAACGUCUUUCAUCAUCUUCCUCCUCUGCUUAUCGCUUCGAGAAACGAUAAAGGAUAUUGCUUUUAUCGUGUGCGGAGGUUGUUACAUAGUAUCGCGCACGCAGUUCUUCAGUAAAGUAUCGAGACAUUUGGAAGAGAAUUUUUUUACGUAUAUAUCAGGUACAUUAUAAGAGACGCUUCUCUUUUAUUUCCGCUCAGUGUAACUUUGUCUUGUGAAGUCGGUUCCCGUUUGAACUUCUGUAUUUGCGUAUGCGUAUUUGGCAUAGUUGCCACAACCGCUUAAUCUGACCAAAGGACGCUAGUUCGCAUGUGUUCGGAUGCUUUCGCCAGACACUGUAUAUUUGCAAUAAUUUGAAAGCGUUCUAAUGCUACGAUUAUGAACAGAAAGGAACGACGAAGCGGAAGGAGAAGCAAGCGGAGAGGAAACGGAGAGUCGGUUGUUCCGCCGCGUGUUGUUUCAUUUAGGUAAUUCAGCGAAUCGAUGAGUAUCGAGUGGCGCGCAGCCGUUUUCGAAUAUGGGUCAGUGGUCGAUACGCAUGUCCUGUGUCGCGCACCUAUCUACGCAGUAUGGACGUCCAUAGAGUACGUACGUAUGUACUAUAUAUAUAGGGAACAGGAGCGUUCAAAAGUAUUUGGACAUUUUGGUUAAUUUUUUAGCAACCAUAUCAUAACGACGAAUUAACGCGUUAACUUCACGGUUUAUGGACAUCGAGAAAGCAUUUGACAAAAUAAACCACGAAAGUCUACUUCAAUCAAUCAGAAAACAAUUCCCGGAGCAGAUAUACCAUUUAAUUAAAUCUUAUUUAAGCAGCAGAACCUUCGUGGUAAAAAUUAAAGACACAUACUCUGAAGUUAAAGACAUCAAAGCAGGGGUUCCGCAAGGAAGCGUCUUAGGACCAAUUCUAUACACACUAUACACGGCCAACAUACCAACAACUACUAAUAGCAAGAUACUGACAUUCGCGGACGACACAGCGGUACUAGUCAGGCACAAUGACCCUGCAACAGCAGUCACAUUACUACAAGAACAUAUCACAAAUAUAGAAAAGUGGCUUCGAGUUAAACAAAUUAAGGCAAACCCCGAUAAAUGCAACCACAUUACAUUCACACUGCGAAAACAGAUACCACCAAACAUUACAUUGAACGGCACGUACAUAAUACAAACAAGGCAAGUCAAAUACCUAGGACUCCACUUAGAUACGCGAUUCACAUGGAAACAGCAUAUUAAAUCUAUAAUAGACAAAAUACAGAUAGCAAGGAGACAAAUGUAUUGGUUAACAAGUCGAAGAUCCAAACUAAGCAUAGAAAACAAACUAAAAAUAUACAAAACGAUCAUAAAACCAAUUUGGACGUACGGAAUACCACUUUGGGGAACAGCAGUAAUGAGCCAUAUAAGCAAAAUAGAGACAAUCCAAGCUAAAAUUCUUAGCUGAAUUGCAAACACCCCAUGGUACGUUAGAAACGAGGACAUACGGAAAGACCUUGGAAUACCAUCGGUCAAGGAAGAGAUUAGCAGAUUCGCAAGAAGGUACAGAGAAAAAAUAGCAACGCACCCGAACCGGCUGGCAGCGGAAACGAUCAACACAAGCAUAGAAAGAAGACUAAAAAGGAAACACCCAGCAGAUCUCACAAAGGAUAUAUCCUAACAAACACGAAGAUGGUACCCCAUUGGGGGUAGCCACCCACAUGAUAAUCAAACAGCUAAAAAAUUCUACCAAAUGUCCAAAUUAGACAAAUUGUGAAUGUGAAAUAUUAAAUAAAAAAAAUAAAAAAAAAA